rnacentral:rRNA from 1 species
UCAUAAUAACUUUACGGAUCACAUUAUGUGACAUAUCAUUCAAGUUUCUGACCUAUCAGCUUUAGACGGUAGGGUAUUGGCCUACCGUGGCUAUGACGGGUAACGGGGAAUUAGGGUUCGAUUCCGGAGAGGGAGCCUGAGAAACGGCUACCACAUCUAAGGAAGGCAGCAGGCGCGCAAAUUACCCAAUCCUAAUACAGGGAGGUAGUGACAAGAAAUAACAAUACAGAACCUUACGGUUUUGUAAUUGGAAUGAGUUAAGUAUAAACCCCUUAACAAGUAUCAAUUGGAGGGCAAGUCUGGUGCCAGCAGCCGCGGUAAUUCCAGCUCCAAUAGCGUAUAUUAAAGUUGUUGCAGUUAAAAAGCUCGUAGUUAAUCUUCUGUUAAUUUUUAUAUAUAAUAUUUCGGUAUUUAUAUAAUAUUAACAUAAUUCAUAUUACUUUUUAGUAUAUGAAACUUUACUUUGAGAAAAUUAGAGUGCUUAAAGCAGGCUAUUGCCUUGAAUACUCCAGCAUGGAAUAAUAUUAAGGAUUUUUAUUCUUCUUAUUGGUUCUAGAAUAAAAAUGAUGAUUAAUAGGAACAGUUGGGGGCAUUUGUAUUUAACAGUCAGAGGUGAAAUUCUUAGAUAUGUUAAAGACAAACUACUGCGAAAGCAUUUGCCAAGGAUGUUUUCAUUAAUCAAGAACGAAAGUUAGGGGAUCGAAGACGAUCAGAUACCGUCGUAGUCUUAACCAUAAACUAUGCCAACUAGAGAUUGGAGGUUGUUCCUUACUCC